CAUCCCUAUAGCAUGUUCUAUGCACAAAGUCUUUUUAACUAGAUUUUUUUUUUAAUCACCCUGCAAAGUGGUUGGAUCAGUUUACAUCUAUCUCCCUGGGUUCUUCAUGCACAAAUCUUCCCAUUUUUUUUUUAUCCCAUUUCACCAUUAUUUGCCUGUCACUCCAUUUCUGCUAUGCAUCUUCUUUCACUUCCCAAAUGGAUCUUCAUCGACAUCUGCUCUGGGGUCAACUGUGUGGAACUGUAAUUUCCCCAAGCCUCACCACCCUCUGGGUACAUAUGUGGGAAUGCUAAUAUUAAUACCUAAUUUUUCUGGCUCAUUUCCCCAAAUUGCUGAUGUAUGAACCCCAGCUCCCUGAAAAUUCCCUCUUAAGAAUGUUUAGAAUCUCCAGAGGCAUGUGUGACAUAUGCUGCCCUUUCUUGAAUUCUGUGCCACUCCGCUGGCCACAGCCACUUCCUCCCGUGCUCUGCUGGCUCUGUUUUUCUCUGUCACUGCUGUUUAUGGGGUAGCAAUUUCCUGAAAAUGGCUACCGUCGCUUCAUUGGCCACGGCAGGCACUGUCACUACAUCAUGUUCCUCCUCUGGGUGCCAAAUCUCUUGCUGACCCCCGAGCUCAGCAUUUCUCGGCUGCUGGAACCUCUGAACACCCAAAGGUCAAAUCUGCUCUGUGGUGUGUGGCAGAGUGACAGAGAAAGACUUCCUACUCUGUGUUCUGGAUUCAGUAUCAUAGCUGCUGCCCUACUUGAUGAGCCCUAUUCCACCCUCCCACACCCGAUCCUCAUUCUGGCAUGACACCAGCUCUGCUUCCAGCCCCAAGUAUCAUCUUCUGCCCGCCUGUUCCUGCAGCUCUAUGUGAACUUUGGUUUCAAGUUAGCAUCUCAACAUCCAUUUGGCAAAGACUUUUGGAAGGGGCUGUUAUGUACCACCCUGGAUCUAGCAUCAGGGAUCAAAUGAUUGUUUUCACGCAUAUUGUAAAAUUGAGAGCAAGAAAGAAAAUCAUAACAAAGAGAAUGUUCAAAGGAAUUAAUAUUAAUUAAGCACCCACCGUGUGCCAAGCACCAUGCUCGGUACUUUCCUCGCAAGAAUCCUACAGAUUUGAUAUUGGAGACUCCAUUUGACUGAUAAUGAACCUGAGUUUGAAAGAAACUGAGUGACACUUUUUUGGUUUUAUUUUCAUCAGAGAACUUAUGAAUAUAUGAAAUACAUUUUUCUGUUUGUGGGCUUGCUUUGCUGCCUAUUUGCCUUACUCUAAGGCAAGUACAACCUGAGAUUGGAUCCUGCUAUUUUCUUCAAUAUUUCAUGCCCAGUUCCAAAAACAUUGCCUGGCAAAUACACUAGGUAACAAAAAUAUUUCUUGAAUGUGUGACUCAAUUGUUUAAUCAAUGAGUGAGUAAAUAAAAAUUGCACGGAGCU
rnacentral:lncRNA from 1 species